GACGAACGCUGGCGGCGUGCCUAACACAUGCAAGUCGAACGGAAAGGCCUUGCUUUUGUGCGGUCCUCGAGUGCCGAACGCGUGUGUAUCACGUGUGUAACCUCCCCUUGACUUUGGGAUACCUCCUUUAAACUGGGGCGAAUACCGCACAUAAGCUCUUGCUACACGGUGGGGAUGUGAGAGAUUCGGCGGUUGGGGAUGGACACGCGGUCUCUCAGCUUGUUGGUGGGGUGGUGGCUUACCAAGGCACUGACGGGUAGCCGGCCUGAGAGGGUGACAGGCCACAUUGGGACUGAGAUGCGGCCAAUACUGCUACGGGAGGCAGGAGUGGGGAAUAUUGCACAAUGGGCGGAGGCAGGAUGCAGCAACGCCGGGUGCGGGAUGACGGCCUUCGGGGUGUAACCCGCUUUCGCCUGUGACGAAGAGUGAGUGACGGUAAUGGGUAAAGAAGCAACGGCUAACUACGUG
rnacentral:rRNA from 1 species